UUCCUUUCCAGCUCCUUUUCCUGGGUCAGAUGACUGGUUUGUUCCCGUGCUUUUAUCUGGCCCCAAGGCGCAGCCGUUUACUGACCCGGACAUUUCUGCCUGUCUCCUAUCCUCCCCAUGAAAGCAGGCUUCUCCUCUGACCCGCCUCCAUACACCGACUCAGUGAGUCACUUUCUUCUGUCACCUGCCAGUCGGCCGCCCCAGCUUCUCCCUCGCUAGCUCUGAGUGCUGUCGAAAGGAAAUCCUUCCAGUACUCCUCUAACCUGCUUCUGUCUGAACCAGUUGCUCUCAGGAGUAGCUCCGCAAUAGUCAUUGUCACUGUCCUUUACCUAUUGCCUGGGAGAUGUCCUUCCUGUCCAUCUGGAUCUUUUAUUUCUUGAGUCCUACAAGACUUGUCUUCCUGACCGAAUUCUCCAGUUUUGGCAGUAAUGCUUCCUCCAGAAUCUGGAUUUAUGGGUUCCUCUUGGCUCUCUUACAAUGGAAACAUCACAAUACUUGGACCUUCUGCUUUCACAGUCACGUGGGGUUCAGGGGUUCAGAGAAAUAACAAGCAAGACCCAUGGAAGUUCAUGCCUGAGAAAUCACAUCUGGACCCUC